rnacentral:rRNA from 1 species
CUCCGGUUGAUCCUGCCGGACCUGACUGCUAUCGGAUUGGUACUAAGCCAUGCGAGUCGUUGUAGCAAUACAAGGCGGACGGCUCAGUAACACGUAGUCAACCUAACCUAUGGACGUGGAUAACCUCGGGAAACUGAGAAUAAACCGCGAUAGAUCAUUAUGCCUGGAAUGGCUUAUGGUUCAAACAAUUUAUUGCCGUAGGAUGGGACUGCGGCCUAUCAGCUUGUUGGUGAGGUAAUGGCCCACCAAGGCUAUAACAGGUACGGGCUCUGAGAGGAGAAGCCCGGAGAUGGGUACUGAGACACGGACCCAGGCCCUAUGGGGCGCAGCAGGCGAGAAACCUUAGCAAUGUGCGAAAGCACGACUAGGUUAAUCCGAGUGAUUUCUGUUGAAGAAAUCUUUUGUCAGUCGUAAAACCACAGACGAAUAAGGGGUGGGCAAGUCUGGUGUCAGCCGCCGCGGUAAUACCAGCACCUCGAGUGGUCAGGAGGUUUAUUGGGCCUAAAGCAUCCGUAGCCGGCUACGCAAGUCUCCGGUUAAAUCCAGCUGCUCAACAGAUGGGCUGCCGGAGAUACUACAUAGCUAGGGAGCGGGAGAGGUAGACGGUAUUCUGUGGGUAGGGGUAAAAUCCACUGAUCCAUAGAGGACCACCAGUGGCGAAGGCGGUCUACCAGAACGCGUUCGACGGUGAGGGAUGAAAGCUGGGGGAGCAAACCGGAUUAGAUACCCGGGUAGUCCCAGCUGUAAACGAUGCAAACUCGGUGAUGCAUUGGCUUAUGGCCAAUGCAGUGCCGCAGGGAAGCCGUUAAGUUUGCCGCCUGGGAAGUACGGACGCAAGUCUGAAACUUAAAGGAUUGGCGGGGGAGCAC